rnacentral:lncRNA from 1 species
AUCUUAGGACCAGUUUCCUCUCUGUAGAAUGUAGCUAAUUUCUAUUCUGUGGUCACAAAGAUCAUCAUAAUAAAAAUAAUCAUAGUUAAUAUGUGUGGUUUACCAACCAUGUUCUAGAAACCAUGUCAAGUGCUUUCUGCAGAUGGUUUCAUUUUUAUUAUAGUAUUGGAACUAUUGUCAACCCCACUUCACAGACUACUAAAUUGAGUGUCUGAGCUGCUAGGUCACAUGUCCAAGGUUAUUCAGCCAGUAAGUAACAGAAUGAGGAUCAGCGUUUGAGAUAGGAAUAUUCUAUUCAAAAUGUACCAUUACAGAGAAACUAGAGUGGUAUCGUCCCAGAUGAGGGUUCAUGCCUGUUUGCUUAUCGAAUGGGUAAAACUACAUUAAAUGCUUUCAUGAGAAUGGGAGACAUUGUUUAAAUUUUCCUGAAAACCCAGAAGAACUCAAAAGUACUCAUCAUCUUGGCCUUACUGGUAUUUGACUAUGAAUACAAUAUAUCCCACAGAAGCAAGUCUAGUAGAGUGGCCUUGGAAAAAGGCUAGGAUUUAGGAGCAUGUUUAGGCAACUCAAGCUUUCUCAGCUUCCAUUUUCUCAUCUGUACUUUCAUAAUUCUGAUUUUUAAAAGCAUCUUUGUUGAAAGUAAAGGUUCAGUGAAACAGAACAGAUGAAGUGUUUCAUAUUUGGUCUGGCAGGCAGUAGUUGCUCAACACGUCUUGUCUAUUAAUGACAACCACAAUGAUAAUAGUGGACUAAUAAUGAAUUGAUAAAAUAUGAUUGCAAAAGUUCAAAUGAGUUUUGAUCUUGCCCCUCUUCUCUGUUUCAGAGGCUGUAUGGUUUUUAUGUUCUACAUUGUAUGGUUUAAUGUUGGCAGGUGAGGGAUUUUGAUAGACACAUGAUAAAAUCAGAAGCCCCAAGACUUGUAUUUUCAUCACAGAAAUGUAUUACUUCCUUGUGUUGUGACCUGGAGCAAGUUACUUUGUGGACCUGCCUGCACAGCACUUGUACCAGUUAAUCCUUUACAUUAACUUGAGUGACAGAUAUGUUAGUG